UCCACUCUUUGCCUAUAAAAGGGUGUGGCUACGUCUUGUAAAAUCAAAGUCAAGAAGUAGAGUCUUAUAAGUGAACAAGAUGUUUUCCUCUAUCUUUCUUGUAAUCUCUGUAGUUUUCAAGUAUUCAAUAAAAAGUUUCCAUUUUCAUAAUCUCUUUGUCUGCUGUCUUUAAUUUUCUGGAGGUCUAAGAGUAGUGAUACAAGCAAAGUAAUAUUCACCGAGUGUGAGAAAUUACGCUUAUAGUCUACUCAUUGAUAGGCUUGAAAAUAUUCACAGCAGGCGAAGCAAGGUGGACAUGGAAAAUGCAAAAAAGAACCUCAAUGCAACAUUGUUCUAGGAAGAGAACCAUCAGCCUUCCUCUCCUCUCUUCCACUCCUCUUUUUUCUCAAUUGUUGGUGAUUUGCGCCUUGAAGCUUGAAGCUGGUGUUUGGAGGCUUGCCUCUGGAGUCCUUUUGAAGUUCUAGGAAGCCUUGGAGACUUGAAGCUUGGAGAAGAGUUCCUCCAUUCCUCUCCCACCGUUGUCUCUGUGAAGCUCAAAGAGUUACCAUCAGGAGGCUCAAUUGUAGAUGUGCACACCAUGGAGUCAUCUAUUUGAUUUGAAUAAUAGAAGUUAAAUGGUACUUGAUCCAUGGAAGUGUAUUGUUUAAUGAUACACUUUAAUCAAGGUUACCUUAUCACUAUUUUUGUCCACAAUGGUGCAUUGGGUGUAGGAGGAAUGGUGAAUCAGUGAACCAUCUUUUUUUGCAUUGUUCCGUUGCAUUGAAGCAUUGGCACAGGCUUUUCUUUCU